AUGGGAAAGUAAAUAUUCUCUCUUUCUAGACUCUAUGAUGAAAGCAAAGUAGAAGAUUGUGUAUUGUUAUGGUAUCCAGCCAACGGUUCGGAAUCUGCUGCAACAUUCAAUUAAUGUUAAACGCUUUUAUGAUGGUGAGGAAGACAACCCCCGCUCAUUGUACUCUUUAGAAAAUUGAAGUGAUACCAUGUUUAACAUUUUGUACUUUAUGAAGUACUUUGAUUUACCCAUGUUCUAAAGUGCAGUGUGGAGUUUAAGACCAGAAUUGCACUGUACAAGGAGGACAAUCUAAACCACUAAGAGUGUGAAGAGUAAAGCAAGAGGAAGCAAGGAUGAAAUCUCGGGAACUGUAGACCUUAAAAGGACCCUGUGAAGACUGACCGCAAAGAUGCAGAAAAUUGUUAUGUCACACAAUUAACCGGAUUUAGAAGAAGCCUUUAGGAAAGAAGGAGUGCUCAGCUGCCUCAAAUGCUGCCAAGAAGUGAGCAAAGAGCAGCAACAACAGUGUCCAUGGGGUUCUACAGUGAGAGAAAGAUCACCCACUGUGAAAAACUCUGUGUUCUCCCUGCUCAGUCUCCCUAGACUAAUCACACAGGACCACCUACAUUUUGUUUACUAGCAUGCCUUCACAUCUGGCUCCUACUGGGUAUAAAAAAUAUAACACUGAAAGAUC